rnacentral:rRNA from 1 species
CUCCGUAGGUGAACCUGCGGAGGGAUCAUUACAAGAACGCCCGGGCUUCGGCCUGGUUAUUCAUAACCCUUUGUUGUCCGACUCUGUUGCCUCCGGGGCGACCCUGCCUUCGGGCGGGGGCUCCGGGUGGACACUUCAAACUCUUGCGUAACUUUGCAGUCUGAGUAAACUUAAUUAAUAAAUUAAAACUUUAACAACGGAUCUCUUGGUUCUGGCAUCGAUGAAGAACGCAGCGAAAUGCGAUAAGUAAUGUGAAUUGCAGAAUUCAGUGAAUCAUCGAAUCUUUGAACGCACAUUGCGCCCCUGGUAUUCCGGGGGGCAUGCCUGUUCGAGCGUCAUUUCACCACUCAAGCCUCGCUUGGUAUUGGGCAACGCGGUCCGCCGCGUGCCUCAAAUCGUCCGGCUGGGUCUUCUGUCCCCUAAGCGUUGUGGAAACUAUUCGCUAAAGGGUGUUCGGGAGGCUACGCCGUAAAACAACCCCAUUUCUAAGGUUGACCUCGGAUCAGGUAGGGACACCCGCUGAACUUA